GAUGAACGCUGGCGGCGUGCCUAACACAUGCAAGUCGAGCGGCAGCGAGGGGUGCUUGCACCCUGUCGGCGAGCGGCGGACGGCUGAGUAACGCAUGGGAACGUGCCCCAAAGUGAGGAAUAACUGCCCGAAAGGGUAGCUAAUACCGCAUAUUAUCUUCGGAUCAAAGGAUUUAUCCGCUUUGGGAGCGGCUCGCGUCGGAUUAGGUAGUUGGUGAGGUAAUGGCUCACCAAGCCGACGAUCCGUAGCUGGUCUGAGAGGAUGACCAGCCAGACUGGAACUGAGACACGGUCCAGACUCCUACGGGAGGCAGCAGUGAGGAAUCUUCCACAAUGGGCGAAAGCCUGAUGGAGCAACGCCGCGUGCAGGACGAAGGCCUUCGGGUUGUAAACUGCUUUUAUAAGUGAGGAAUAUGACGGUAACUUAUGAAUAAGGAUCGGCUAACUACGUG
rnacentral:rRNA from 1 species